rnacentral:pre_miRNA from 1 species
AUAGUACUCCCUCCGUCCAACAAAAGAUGUCUCAAGUUUGUCAAAAUUUGGAUGUAUCUAGACAUGACUUAGUAUAUAGAUGCAUUCAAAUUUGAUCAAACUUGAGACAUUCUUUGUUGGAUGGAGGGAGUACUAG